UGGUUGUCGUCAGCUCGUGUCGUGAGAUGUUGGGUUAAGUCCCGCAACGAGCGCAACCCUUGAUUUUAGUUGCCAGCAUUUAGUUGGGCACUCUAAAGUGACUGCCGGUGCAAGCCGGAGGAAGGUGGGGAUGACGUCAAAUCAUCAUGCCCCUUAUGACCUGGGCUACACACGUGCUACAAUGGAUAGUACAAAGGGUCGCGAAGCCGCGAGGUGGAGCUAAUCCCAUAAAACUAUUCUCAGUUCGGAUUGUAGGCUGCAACUCGCCUACAUGAAGCCGGAAUCGCUAGUAAUCGUGGAUCAGCAUGCCACGGUGAAUACGUUCCCGGGCCUUGUACACACCGCCCGUCACACCACGAGAGUUUGUAACACCCGAAGUCGGUAGGGUAACCUUUAUGGAGCCAGCCGCCGAAGGUGGGACAGAUAAUUGGGGUGAAGUCGUAACAAGGUAGCCGUAUCGGAAGGUGCGGCUGGAUCACCUCCUUUCUAAGGAA
rnacentral:rRNA from 1 species